GAUUUACAGCCAGUUCAGCAUUCUUGUAAAUGGCCAUAAAUUGGAUUGAAGUCAUAAAUCAUAACCUGAGGAAGAAAGACACAGUCUCUGAGUCCCAGCUCAGGCUAAACCAGCCUCUAUGAAUACAUGGAAGAAGCCUGCUUCCUCAAUCAAUAUACACAGCUCAGGGUCUGCAGGGUCUACCCCUGCUUCCCUUCCACUGUAGCAGCAGCUACACACUGCAUUUGUGGGAUGCCCUAAAAAUAUCUUCCCUCCAGCUCUCUGGCACGGCCUGCUGCAACACAGAGGUCACCCCCACCACUUUGGGGUCAACACUUGAUGAUCUUGACUGCACUUGUACAUACACAGCUCUCUAAGUAGUAAUUCUGAUCAGCACUCGAGGCUCCCAGAUUCCUCACAUGGCUCAGGAAGCAUCCAUCAGGGAGUUCCCCACCACAGACACUACCUUUGGGAGCUGACUGCCUUCUUUCUCUGGAGAAGAGUAGCAGGCAGACUCAGGUUAACUUGUUGAGACACCAGAUCCAUUCCACACACAGCACAAGUGCCUGGCUUUCACUACAAGCUUGGCACUUCAAAUCCAGAGUUUUGUGCCUUCCUCUUUUGUUUCUCUAGCUCAGUUUUAGAGUCUAACCCAAGAGAAUUUUUGAAAGCAUCUGACUACUGCUGUAAGAGGGACCCCUCAUGUUUCUGUGGCUAUCUACAUUCAGGACUACACCAGGCAGGCUCAUCCCACCUCCUUGCACAAGCUGGGAUCUGCAACUUGGCCAUGAGUCCCAUGAGCACAGCUUUGAGUCAGUUCAGAGCUCCUGGAUCAAGAAGCAUGGGAAGCAGCAUACAUCCUGUAGUUCAGAUCCUAGGUCUGGCUAGAACAGCUUGCUUGACUGCUUGGACCCGUGUUCUACAUGUUAGCGUGCAUGGCUGUAAAGAAGGGCCAGAGUCAGCACAACCUCAGAGCGACGGAGAAUAAAGCAUUCUAGUUUUGUGGCCAUUGAUCUGAUGACACUGCGGGUAAUGGAUGGACAAGGUUAGUCUCAGAAUGUCUGAUUCUUCUCAAAUCAUUGCUGGAGUCAGGCUUAAGGUUGCU
rnacentral:lncRNA from 1 species